GGACGAACGCUGGCGGCGUGCUUAACACAUGCAAGUCGAGCGGUAAGGCCCUUUCGGGGGUACACGAGCGGCGAACGGGUGAGUAACACGUGGGUGACCUGCCCUCAGCUCUGGGAUAAGCUUGGGAAACCGGGUCUAAUACUGGAUAUGACUCCAUGACGCAUGUUGGUGGGGUGGAAAGCCUUGUGCGGCUGAGGAUGGGCCCGCGGCCUAUCAGCUUUGUUGGUGGGGUGAUGGCCUACCAAGGCGACGACGGGUAGCCGGCCUGAGAGGGCGACCGGCCACACUGGGACUGAGACACGGCCCAGACUCCUACGGGAGGCAGCAGUGGGGAAUCUUGCGCAAUGGGCGAAAGCCUGACGCAGCGACGCCGCGUGAGGGAUGACGGCC
rnacentral:rRNA from 1 species